rnacentral:rRNA from 1 species
GUAGGUGGCAAGCGUUGUCCGGAAUUAUUGGGCGUAAAGCGCGCGCAGGCGGUUCUUUAAGUCUGAUGUGAAAGCCCACGGCUCAACCGUGGAGGGUCAUUGGAAACUGGAGAACUUGAGUACAGAAGAGGAAAGCGGAAUUCCACGUGUAGCGGUGAAAUGCGUAGAGAUGUGGAGGAACACCAGUGGCGAAGGCGGCUUUCUGGUCUGUAACUGACGCUGAGGCGCGAAAGCGUGGGGAGCAAACAGGGAUUAGAUACCCUGGUAGUCCACGCCGUAAACGAUGAGUGCUAAGUGUUAGGGGGGUUUUCCGCCCCCUUAGUGCUGCAGCUAACGCAUUAAGCACUCCGCCUGGGGUAGUACGGCCGCAAGGCUG